AGAAUCAACGCUGGCGGCGUGCCUCAGACAUGCAAGUCGAACGAUUAAAGCUCCCUUCGGGGAGUGCAUAAAGUGGCGCACGGGUGAGUAACACGUAAGUAAUCUACCCUCGGGUGGGGAAUAACCAUCGGGAAACCGAUGACUAAUACCGCAUAAUGCAGCGGCACCGCAAGGUGACAGUUGUUAAAGAUUUAUUGCCUGGGGAGGAGCUUGCGGCAGAUUAGCUUGUUAGGUAAGGUAACGCUUACAAGGCUACGAUCUGUACUCCGGUCUAAGGAGGACGGUCGGACACACUGACACUGAAUAACGGGUCAGACC
rnacentral:rRNA from 1 species